GAUACAUCCAGAAUAUUCGCGACUAUGGCGAAAUAUGCAGAUCACCAUUAAAAUCUCACUGAUUGACCUAAAAUUGGAAAGAGAUAUAUUUUUGGUGUUUUAAUGGCUUUAUAUUAUGUCUAAGUACAUGUUUUUUAUAUCUAUAUUAUUUGGAAUGAAAAACAAUUUCUGUUAUCAAGAAUAGUAACAUGGAUUAUGUUCGGGGUCAAUUUGACCCCAGGAAAAACAAACACAAUUUCAGAAAUUUAGAAGGAUUUGUAAAACAGAAUAUCAUCAUCAUCAGAACAUCACUAAGGAAUACAUAACAGGUAUUUAUUUCCACAAAUAUUAAAGUACAUUUGAGAUUGGUCUAUGCUACACUAAGUGCUAUGUAUGCAAAUAGUUUUGCAUGAGAUAGUGAAAAAAACAAAGUCACUAAAAUUAGUUUGACAGAAUAUGAACAGCAUAUUAUCUUUCCUUCAGCCCACCAGAAGGUACAUUCCAGCCUUUGGUCUGCACUACUGUACACAUGAUGUGCAGAGAGUGCAUGCAUGUUCCUUGCAGAUGUAUUUCUUGAAUUUCACACAGGUGUUGCUGGUCUUGGAGUCAUUUCUGUUUGGACAGACCUGGCACCAACCACGUUUCCUGCCUGUAGUUUGAACCACUGGAGGAGCUGCACAGUGUGCGUCUGUAUGGAUGUCCUUCACAACAGUUGCAGCGGCAGUUGAUGUUCUUGGAAUGGCACUGUCUUCUCUCGAUAUGAGAUUUCAACCAACGCGUAACCCAGUUUCUCCAGGAAAAUCCUCCUUCGAGUCAGUGUUCCGCUGUUCCAGUCCUUGUUUAUCUCAUUCCAUAUUACAAAGUGCAGUGCAGUGCAGUGUAGGCGCAGUGUAGGCGCUCACAUCAAUGAUGUUGAAGAAAAUUACAAGGGGCCAACGGGCAGUCAUGUGUCGGCAGCUGUAUGUGGCUGUGACCUUGUCCAGGUUAUCUACCCCUCCCUUUGUCUUGUUGUAGUCCAAGACCAUUUGUGGUUUUCUGUCUUCUCUGGUGCUCAGGACAGCAUCUUUGUGCAUGGUGCUCAUCAGCAGGACUGUUUUCCCUUUCUUGGGGCAAUAGGAGACGACAGUGGCUCUGUCAGUGAAGGCAAACAUUGAAGAGGUUACCGCCGUGUUCUUCAUCACAAGCUGCUCAGUGGGAAGCUCUGGCUUGUUUUUUCUCACUGUCCCCAACAUGGUAACCUUUCUUUUCAGCAGUUCUUCACCCAGGGCAUAUGAUGUGAAAAAAUUAUCACAUGUAAUGUUAUGACCAUUCAGUCCUUCAGCCAUGUCAAGUACCACCCUCAUGCCCUGAUUUUUUUCAGGUGCUUGCCCAGGGGAUUUACCAGUGUACACCUGCAUAUUCCAGGCAUAGCUGGACUGUGCAUCACAUGCUGCCCAUAUUUUGAUACCGUAUUUGGCCGGUUUGCUCGGUAUGUAUUGUCUGAAGGGACAGCGGCCACGAAAUGCAACCAGACAUUCAUCCACAGUCACGUGGGGGCCUGGAUUGUAGACAAUUGUUUGUUAUAGUGACCUCAAUAUCAUCCAAAACAACCAGAACCAAUGUGUGAAACAUGUUGAUAUUUCUUUUAUGUUUUACACAUUGGAAAACAGCUUGGGGUCAAAUUGACCCCGAAGAACACCGAUGCGUACAAGUUGUGUACAGGAAAUUGAAAACAUAUCUUCUUGUUAAUUUUAUGUUUACCCAGUUGUCCCCAAUAAAUUAGGAAAAGUCAUGAAAUAUGAAGCAAAAAAAAUUAUGUCAAUAUAUUAUUUAGAGACGUUAAACAUUGAAUGGGGUCAAAUUGACCCCAAAGGUAAUAGGAGGGUUAAUGUGCUAAGCCAUCAAAAUUGUCCUCCAGAUUCAAACUGCACUACUUAUCCUGGAUCUCAGCAGUGCUGGUAAUUGAUCAGUGGGAGGAUGAGCGAAUAUCCAGAGAUGAGAGUGUUUGUCAAACAGGCCAGGACAGUGAUAUUAACUUUCCCUAUUUAUGUAUUCUGCAUCGUAAUGCGAUGCUCAACACCUGAGGGCUCCAUCCCCGAAUUCCUACGCUUCCUGAAAACAACUCGUAUGUAUGCGCACCACUGAGGAGUAGUGCAUUUUUGCUCUCCUCACUUUUUCUUUGUGGAAUUAUGGACCACGAUGAUAAUUGCUGCUCUUGUGCAGAUUUACUUUUACUUUUCCAAAAUGGAUUGAUGUCGUGUUUUUUUGCACAUGGAAAUGGCUAGCUUGGCUAAGAGGGAUGGAGGUCUUUAGAUGUGUUCCCCUUUUUCAAAAAGGAUGAAUAUUGGUGGUUAUGUACUGUUAGCAACAUAAUUUCACUUUUUUGUCCUGUAUCCUUUCGCCUGCAUAGGGACUGUAGCCGGACCAGCAUGACAUUUAUCCAUUUAUCCUUACAACCUACUGUUUGGGUCGGUUCCCACUGCACUUUAGCUGCCGUUGUUAUUUUGUACCGCUGAGUAAAGCUCCGAACAAUCGGUGAGACAAAAGGGUGGAGCUGGUAUAUUUGUCUCUAUUUCAUGGGUCCAUUGUCAGCUUUCAGCAGCGAGGAGCAAGGUAACAUGAAUUUCAAGUUGAUGUGUGUGUGUGUUUGUGUGUGUGCAUUAUUCCUUCCCUUUUCACUUUAAGAGACGUUUCUUCACAUCAAUGGGGUUCAAGAAGCCAGUGGCAUACCUGGCAAGUAAGGCUUGUAAUUCAGUGUGAGCUUUAUGAAAUAUUGUUAUUUAUGCCUGUGGGUGAGUGGAUUAUGUUCCUCACAAAAAAUAAACAUAUGUAACCUCAUGUGUAAUACAUCAUAUCUUUGUAUUUGCAUUUAUCCCUCAUCAAUUUUGAACUAUUGAAUAAAAUCAGUUUUAGAAAUAUUAGAAAUAUUCAAGAUUUCAGUUUAAAUAUCCAUCUCCAUGUUGUCAUAUUAAGUUUGGGCCACUAAGUUAUUCUGUCAAGGACAAUAUGCUUCGGUUAUCUGUCCUUAAAAGCAUUUGAGGUACAAUGAACUGAAAAUGGCCCGUUUUCAGAGACCCUGGUUUUUGUAAGCAUCAUCCAUCCUCAAUUACUUUCCGCAACAGUGAACACAGAGUCCCACCUUUACCAAACGGCACAAAACAUCUCUCCCUGAAGAUUAAUUAUGUUCUGAAAUUGGUUUCUCAGAAAAAAACUGAAAAGAUGACCCUUUGAAGGAAUUGCUGCUUUUGUAGUGGUUCAGUGCCCCAUCUAUAAUGAAUCGUACUGCGAGGGACAUGACAAAUGGAUUUUCUUGUGUCUUUUAUGGCAGUGUUGGAAAUGUUGAAAUACUUUAGGAGGGCCUGAGUCAACACCAGGAAAAGGGGAGCUCGGCUCUGCGUAGCACAGUGUUGGACCACACUGACUCACACACUGUUAGGGGCGUAGGAGGAGCUGAAACACACACAAGACCUGCAAAAAGAUGAAUGACGCAGUGUAAUCAUCUAUUCAUAUUGGAAGCUGAGAGGGAGUCUGAGGGUGGAUGCUUGACAAUCCCGCAUCUCAGUGUUACGCCGACAGCUGUAUAAUGCUUUAAAGGGUAAUUAAUUCAUCCUCCAAUUUUUCCUUUGUUCUGCCAAAGAGAAAUUUGCUAGAGAUAAUUCUCCUCAGUGAAUAUUUAGGCAUUUAUUAAAUCAAUCUAAUAUAUAUAUCGUAUUGAUUUAAUUAGCAUUUUCUUCAUUAUUUAAUUUUCUUACAUAUAAUAAGUUCUGCUCUGUUUAGUUUAUUGUAUAAAUUGAGCAUUUUUAAUUCCAAUUCAACAUUAUCAUCAUGUUUACGCUGCAUGAAUCUAUAAUCAUAUAUCUAUCUAUAUUCAAGAAUUAUUUUUCUUGAGUGCAGCAGAGGGCCAAAUCUAUGGAAGGAUAAAAAUAAAUGCUGUGUCAGAAAAAAAGUAUGAUUUGGAGUGAGAAAGAUAAACUACCAGUAGCAAAACAAGCUGGGAGGGCAAAUGUGCUAUGGCAAUGUAACAUAAAAAUGAUUCUUUAUUUCACAACGGACGCUCAGAUUCUUAUCGUCUGACACCAUUAUGCAGUUGCUCCUGUAGCCCAGCAGCCGCAAUGCUCCCGAUCAAUGCGGGACAAUUUAAAGAAAAAGUGUCCCCACUAUUGACUUCAACCAAUUAACUGAAACUGAUAAAAAUAGCCUCGUUAACUUCAAGGUAUUUGAUGGAUUUAUUUCCUACCUCAAAAAGGUUCACAUCUCUUUAAUUAGUUAAUUUACUGAAAUGUAGGAAUAUCUAUUGAAGCAUGCUUUUGAUCAGGGAGGGCCUUUGAAGCACAUCUUUCAAGCAGCAAUUCAAUUUAGAAAUGAACUGACAUUCUUUUGAAAAGUUCUGAGCGGCGUUUU
ensembl:lncRNA